ensembl:lncRNA
CCCCUCCAGCCAACGUGUCUUCACAGCUAAGGAAGAAUUCUUCACUUCUCUCAUUGACUUCUCAAACUCCAAACCACGGCCUGGUCCGCUUGGUCUGUUUCACAAGCGUUCCAGGAAGUCUCUGAUGUUGCACAUCUGGGUUCAGAAACUCUGUGAUUUUUAUGUUACUGUUUUUUUGCCAAAGUAUAUUUACGGUACUUCGAUACGAUUUAGUUUUUCAGUUUAUAUUUCUUUAUUUGUGUGUUUAAAAAAAACAAACAUCUGUUUUGUAUUUAUUACAAUUUUUUAUUUUUACUCCAAAGUAUUGUGUAUUAACUUGCCCGCGGUGUUGGGUAAUACUGAACGUUCAGACAUCGUGGGCGGCAGGUAGCCUCGUGGUUCGAUCGUUGGGCCACUUGUUGAAUAUAUUCAGUCGUUCUCCAAAUCCUGAAGCUACUUUACCUUGAUAUAUGCAUGCUGAAUUUGGAUUUACAUUUGGGAUUUUGUUUGUUGCACCAAAACUCCCUGUACUGUGUACUUUAUAACUGAGCUUCAUGUCCAGUUUUUCAUAACUCUCUCAUUGCCACAAAUUAUAUAAUAAUAAUAAUUAUAAGAUACUUUUAAAAAAAUAUACAAAAAAUUUAAAUGACUUUAAACUUUUAUUUAUACUCAUUAAUUUCCCAAUACUUCCAAACAUGUUGUUGAACUGUAUUGUAAAAUAUGAUAUAUAUAUAUAUAUUAUAUAUAUAUAAUAUAUAUUAUGUGUGUUACAGGUAAAAGGGCAUAAGAAUAGAGGUACUCAAUCAUUCAAAGACACCUACUGUGUGCCUGUGUGUGAAGAUCAGGAAUCUGCAACGUUUGGGUAUUUUUACCAACUAUCUUUACUGCAAUAUACAUAGUUUAAAAUAAUAAUAAUAAUAAUAAUAAUAAUAAUAAUAAUAAUAAUAAUAAUAAUAAUAAUAAUAAUAAUAAUCUUUCCUUGAAAUCUACAGGAACUUGAUAGACCAUUUUCUUAAAUAAUGAAACAUACAAACAUGUCACAGACAUUAUGUGAGUGUCAUUAACAUGUACAAAAGGGUUAUUUUGAUUUCGAUGGGAGACGUGUAAACAAUGUGAACAGCUCUGUGUAGGGAGUAGGGAGGUGUUUCACCCUAGGUCUCUGUGUAGGGAGUAGGGAGGUGUUUCACCCUAGGUCUCUGUGUAGGGAGUAGGGAGGUGUUUCACCCUAGGUCUCUGUGUAGGGACUAGGGAGGUGUUUCACCCUAGGUCUCUGUGUAGGGAGUAGGGAGGUGUUUCACCCUAGGUCUCUGUGUAGGGAUGUGUUUCACCCUAGGUCUCUGUGUAGGGAGUAGGGAGGUGUUUCACCCUAGGUCUCUGUGUAGAGAAUAGGGAGCUGUUUCACCCUAGGUCUCUGUGUAGGGAGCUGUUUCACCCUCGGUCUCUGUGUAGGGAGCCGUUUCACCCUAGGUCUCUGUGUAGGGAGUAGGGAGCCGUUUCACCCUAGGUCUCUGUGUAGGGAGUAAGGAGCUGUUUCACCCUAGGUCUCUGUGUAGGGAGUAGGGAGCCGUUUCACCCUAGGUCUCUGUGUAGGGUGCUGUUUCACCCUAGGUCUCUGUGUAGGGAGUAGGGAGCCGUUUCACCCUAGGUCUCUGUGUAGGGAGCUGUUUCACCCUAGGUCUCUGUGUAGGGAGCUGUUUCACCCUAGGUCUCUGUGUAGGGACUAGGGAGGUGUUUCACCCUCGGUCUCUGUGUAGGGAGUAGGGAGCCGUUUCACCCUAGGUCUCUGUUGAGGAAAACGUCAUUUGAAUCAUCAGUACGGUAAGGGGAUCUUGUUAUAGUGAAACAGACGGAAACGGCCCGGACAAAAUAAAUAACAACAACAAAACAUUGCAAAUGAAGUUUUUUGAAAUAAAUGAUCGUCUGGCUAAGCCAAACAUUCUACGACAUAAUGUUUUCCUCUUUUUCAUGAAUUCUAAAACUUUGUAUGUUUUAUUGUCAACAGGAAUGAGUAUUAAUGUAAUUAUUAUUAUUAUUAUGAUUAUUGUCAUGGCUAUUACUAAUAUUAGUGGCAGGCCACUGGGUAACAUUGUAUGUUGAUAUCCAAAUGAUAAUGAUGAAAUGUUUAUGAGUUUUAAAAACAAAUAAAAAGAUAAGACCACCAGGACUGUGUCAUUGUUCUGUUAAACACUGAGAUUAUUGAUAGUUCAUCUAAAUCAAUUAUUCAUCUAAUCAAUCAAUUAAAAUCAACAUGACACCUUUAUGUGGGGCGGCAGGUAGCCUAGUGGUUAGAGUGUUGGACUAGUAACUGAAAAGGUUGCAAGAUCGAAUCCCUGAGCUGACAAGGUAAAAAUCUGCCAUUCUGCCCCUGAACAAGGCAGUUAACCCCACUGUUCCCUGGUAGGCUGUUAUUGUUAAUAAGAAUUUGUUCUUAACUGACUUGCCUAGUUAAAUAAAGGUAGAAUACAAAAAAGAUCAACG